AUUGAACGCUGGCGGCCGGCCUAACACAUGCAAGUCGAACGAGUGGCGGACGGGUGAGUAAUGUCUGGGAAACUGCCCGAUGGAGGGGGAUAACUACUGGAAACAGUAGCUAAUACCGCAUACCAUCGGAUGUGCCCAGAUGGGAUUAGCUAGUAGGUGGGGUAACGGCUCACCUAGGCGACGAUCCCUAGCUGGUCUGAGUGGAUGACCAGCCACACUAGAACGUAGACACGGUCCAGACUCCGACGGCAGGCAGCAGUGGGGAAUAUUGCACAAUUGGCGCAAGCCUGAGGCAGCCAUGCCGCGUGUAUGAAGAAGGCCUUCGGGUUGUAAAGUACUUUCAGCGGGGAGGCGUUACUCGCAGAAGAAGCACCGGCUAACUCCGUGCCAGCAGCCGCGGUAAUUC
rnacentral:rRNA from 1 species